rnacentral:tRNA from 1 species
UGGCUCAGCAGUUAAGAGCACUGGCUGUUCUUCCAGAGGAUCUGGGUUCAAUUCCCAG